ACCAGUGCUGAUCUGAGGAGAUGAUAGGAAGACGAGUGUGCUUGACUCCAUACUGACUGGUUUUCUUUAAAUCCUUCUGACUCUGCAAUAAUUUAGAAUAUGAUGUUAAAUGAUGAAGAACAAAUAACUGAUAUUAUUGGAGUAGUUCACACUGUACCAGGCAUAUGUACAUCAUUUAACUAAUUUGACCCUCUCACCCACCCUUUAAGGCCGGAGCAUGUAAUUGCUGGAGUGGGAUCCUUCAUGGAUUUCUCUUAUCCUGGCAUUGACAAUGAUAGAAGAGGAGGCCCCUCCUUCUACCUGGGUAACUGUGAUUAACAGACACAGAAUGGACGUGUGCUGAGAAAGAAAUCGUUGCUAUGUUAAGGUAAAAAUCGGUAGCAAAUUCACUCAGAUUCAGAAGGAAGAACAGAAGCUUCAUCUCUCAAUGAGAGGAUUGCCCUAUCAGUACUUCCAAAAGUGAAAAUGGGAACUGCAUUAAAAGACAAAAAUUGCCACAGCCACUCCAACCUUUAGCAACCACCACCCUGGUCAGUGAGCAGCCAACCAUUGAAGGUAGGACCCUUAAGCAAAACCGUUAUGAAUAACUGAAGGCUCGGAUGACUGUUACCAUAUUUAAAUUAAUGUAUGUACUGGUUUUUACAGAUUUAAUGCUAUUGCACACUUCAUAUACUACAGUAUAAUGUAAACAUAACUUU
rnacentral:lncRNA from 10 species